GCCUUUGAUAAUGAACUCUGAGAAGGGGAACAAAUUAAUAGAACAUAGAUGAACUGCCAAGAAUGAAGACCGGGUUUUUGCUCUGCAGCAGAAAUGACAACAAUUUGACAAUUUGCAAUCUUUGUUACACAAUAAGAGAAAUCAAGAAUGGACUGAUUAAGGUAGCUUAUGUCCACAUUUGGGAACAGAAUUUCUGUCACUAACUGAUGAGAAUAAUGGAAACUGCAGAAUCACAGGGAAUCCCACCUACCUUGGAUACCUGGCAAGCGCAAAACACCUGGC